CCUACGGGAGGCAGCAGUGAGGAAUAUUGGUCAAUGGACGAGAGUCUGAACCAGCCAAGUCGCGUGAAGGAUGACUGCCCUAGGGGUUUUAAACUUCUUUUAUAUGGGAAUAAAAUGUUCCACGUGUGGGAUUUUGUAUGUACCAUAUGAAUAAGGAUCGGCUAACUCCGUGCCAGCAGCCGCGGUAAUACGGAGGAUCCGAGCGUUAUCCGGAUUUGUUGGGUUUAAAGGGAGCGUAGGUGGAUUGUUAAGUCAGUUGUGAAAGUUUGGGGCUCAACCGUAAAAUUGCAGUUGAUACUGGCAGACUUGAGUGCAGGAGAGGUGAGCGGAAUUCGUGGUGUAGCGGUGAAAUGCUUAGAUAUCACGAAGAACACCGAUUGCGAAGGCAGCUCACUGGACUGCAACUGACACUGAGGCUCGAAAGUGUGGGUAUCAAACAGGAUUAGAUACCCUUGUAGUC
rnacentral:rRNA from 1 species